GAUGAAAGUUCUAAGCUUUGGGAAGUUUGUCAUGUUCUUAAGACUGGCAUUUCUGGAUUAGAGAAUUACUAUUCUUCUGGUUUUAAUGUCAUUUCUUCUCUUGAGAAUCAUCAACAUCUUAAUCCACAAUUAUCUAGACAGGUGAGUAGAGCAAUAACAGGGUGUAGAAGAGAAGCAAAUGGAUUAGAGGAAGAAAACAGAGCAUUAAUGGAAACAAGAAUUGAGCCACUCUCAUUAAGAUUUGAUGAAAUUGUUUCAGUAGAAUCAAAGCUAAAUGGAUUUAAUGGAUUCAGAGGAGUACUUUAUGCAAUGAGAAAUGUUAGUUCAGUUUUGCUAAUGAUUUUGCUUCAUGGAUUAGUCUAUUGUUGGCCUGAAUCAUCAUCAUCUUCCUCUGAUUUUUCAACAUCAGAAACAGGGGGGUGUCUGUUUUUUGGUUCAAAUUUUAUGAUAUCAAUCUCAAGAUUACAACAAAGAAUUGGUUCUCAGAUUAAUCAAAUGAAUCCAGGUAGAAGAUCCAUUUUGUUGUAUGAAUUUAGGAGAUCAAAAGCAGCCAUGGAUGAACUUAGAGGAGAAUUGGAGAAUAAAUGUGAAAAUGGGAUUAUAAGAGAAAGAGUGGAGAAUUUGAAAGCAUAUUUUGGGGUUUUGAAAAAUGGCACUGAGAAUAUUAUUGGACAAUUAGAUGAUUUUUUUGAUGAAAUUGUUGAAGGAAGGAAGAAACUUUUGGAUUUCUG
rnacentral:misc_RNA from 1 species